AUUGAACGCUGGCGGCAGGCCUAACACAUGCAAGUCGAACGAGUGGCGGACGGGUGAGUAAUGUCUGGGAAACUGCCUGAUGGAGGGGGAUAACUACUGGAAACGGUAGCUAAUACCGCAUACCAUCGGAUGUGCCCAGAUGGGCUGAGCUAGUAGGUGGUGUAACGGCUCACCUAGGCGACGAUCCCUAGCUGGUCUGCGAGGAUGACCAGCAACACGGGAACUGAGACACGGUCCAGACUCCUACGUGAGGCAGCAGGGGGGAAUAUUGCAAAAUGGGCGCAAGCCUGAUGCAGCCAGGCCGCGUGUAUGAAGAAGGCCUUCGGAUUGUAAAGCACUUUAAGUUGGGAGGCGUUACCAACAGAAUAAGCACCGGCUAACUUCGUGCCAGCAGCCGCGGUAAUUC
rnacentral:rRNA from 1 species